AGGAGCCCAUGAAGAAAAGACUUCAGGUGCAUCUCAUGCUUAUUUGACAGACGGGGAGACGUGCUCCGAGAGGUCAAUGACAUCCAGCCAGUACAGGGGCUCACAAAGGAAUCUUAUUCUCUCACAUGUAACAGUUUUGUUUUGUCCUCUAGGGACAAAACACUUGCCUCAAAGCCCAGAAGCUAAGACGUCACCUUCAGGGCUGAGGAUGCCCAAGCAGCAGGAAUGAAUGCUGCUGUGAGCUUACAUCAGCAGACAAUCUGAGGCUGGAGGCUCUUGGAGACGUAGGCACCCCUAAAACCAGCAGCAAACAACAGUGAGACGCUCUUCGAGCUGCCCUGCUGACCUAGGCGCAUGACCAGAGGGUUCCUGCUGCUGAAAGAGGUCCCCUUUCCGAUGCUUACCCUUUUCUAUCUCUUAGAACAUUUUUUCAGGUGCUCAUCUGUAGAAAGUACACAUCGUCUCCAGCACUCCACCAAGCCCCAAGAAAAGAGUCACCCUUCAAGGACAGGAGCUGGGUCAUGAACCAUAAAUAUUUAACUGUGCCACAGCCAGGUGCUUGGAGAAAAUCCUCAAUGUAGCAGUGUAAGAUAGAGCCCAAGCCCAAAGACCCCCAGCCUGGCCAGAUGCCAACUCCAAUGGGGGUCAACAGACUAAGAGGAGAAACGGGGCAGACCAACAUUUACCUAGAAGA